rnacentral:rRNA from 1 species
AGUCGAGCGAAUGGAUUAAGAGCUUGCUCUUAUGAAGUUAGCGGCGGACGGGUGAGUAACACGUGGGUAACCUGCCCAUAAGACUGGGAUAACUCCGGGAAACCGGGGCUAAUACCGGAUAACAUUUUGAACCGCAUGGUGCGAAAUUGAAAGGCGGCUUCGGCUGUCACUUAUGGAUGGACCCGCGUCGCAUUAGCUAGUUGGUGAGGUAACGGCUCACCAAGGCAACGAUGCGUAGCCGACCUGAGAGGGUGAUCGGCCACACUGGGACUGAGACACGGCCCAGACUCCUACGGGAGGCAGCAGU